rnacentral:rRNA from 1 species
GGGGAAUUUUCCGCAAUGGGCGAAAGCCUGACGGAGCAAUACCGCGUGAGGGAAGACGGCCUAUGGGUUGUAAACCUCUUUUCUCAGGGAGGAAAUCAAUGACGUUACCUGAGGAAUAAGCAUCGGCUAACUCCGUGCCAGCAGCCGCGGUAAGACGGAGGAUGCAAGUGUUAUCCGGAAUCACUGGGCGUAAAGCGUCUGUAGGUGGCUUAACAAGUCAACUGUUAAAUCUUGAAGCUCAACUUCGAAAUCGCAGUCGAAACUGUUAGGCUAGAGUAUAGUGGGGGUAAAGGGAAUUUCCAGUGGAGCGGUGAAAUGUGUAGAGAUUGGAAAGAACACCGAUGGCGAAGGCACUUUACUGGGCUAUUACUGACACUCAGAGACGAAAGCUAGGGUAGCAAAUGGGAUUAGAUACCCCAGUAGUC